AUCGCGCUGGCGCAGACGGACCUGAAGCGCGUGCUGGCGUACAGCACGGUGAGCCAGCUCGGGUUCAUGUUCCUGGCGCUCGGCACGCUCGGCGCGGUG
rnacentral:tRNA from 1 species